GGCGGCUAGGUUUUGGGCAUGAAAGCUUCGGCGAACUGGGAAAGAAAGAAAAAAGAAGAAGAGCGCGAGGGAUAAAAAGGAAAAGCAGAGGGAAAAGAGGAACCAGGCGGCGGGCUGAGCAAAAAAUGGAGGAAACAAGCAACGAAAAAAACACACAAAAGGGAAAUGGGGGUUUCAGCUUCAAUCAUCCGAUAAAAAUUUUUCCAAUCACCACUGCCAAAUUUCCCACCACCUCAACCGGCUGCCGGCUGCCACCACUCUCUUUCCACCCUCCGUCCUCAAAUUCCCCCCAAUUUCCCCAAACGAAUCCUCCACAAAAACCCCUCAUUUCCCAUUCUGCUCCUCCCCACUUCUAAUACAAGCCUUUUCUGCCAACGCCUCCACCACAGCCCUUCCCCUUUACCGCCGUCUCUAUCCGCGCCAAGCCCAAAAAAAAACUCAUCCUCAGCAACCUUUCUGUUCUCGGUGAAAAGGGCAAGAACAGCUACGACGUCGAGACUCUCAUCAAAUUCUUCUCCACCUGCUCCUCUUCCGUGGAUGGCUUGAGCAGCAACAGCAGCGGAGAUUUCCAACUCACCGAGCCGUCACCACCCAUCGGAUAUCCAUUGCCGCCUGCGAAUUUCACCAAGAAAGCCUUCUGGCAAUGAUUUUAGGCACUGGAGAAAGAAAAUAGUGAAGAUGGAAAUAAUUCUGAUUCUAGCAGUUAUUCUAAUGAUAAUGAGGACGAAAGGCCGGAGAGCAAAUCUAUCACCACCUCUUGGCCUCAAAGUUACAGGCAGUCCAUCGAUUUAUACAGUAGUGUACCAUCUCCAAGUCUUAACUUCCUGGGGACGCCUACGUUAUCAUGUUUAGGCAGCUCAUGUAUCUCUUAUUCAUUAACAAGAAGAUACACUCCUGAAGUACUCCCUUCUUCGCAAAACCUCUAUUACCACCAGUAGCAGAUGCACGUCGGCCACCAGAAAGGCGUAGUUCACAUUCUCUGCUGCCCUCCAUUCAAGGGAGGCCUUCCUUAAGAAAAGCAACUGCUGACAAGAAAUCAUCCAAGGUCUCACAUGAGGUUUCUCUUCCUAGCCAGAGUUCAUAUGGACAAGCUGUGGUGAAUGGCAUAAAUGUUCUUUGUGGUGUUGGAAUUCUUUCAACUACUUGUGCUGUCAAAGAAGGUGGAUG